rnacentral:pre_miRNA from 14 species
GAUCUUGUAGAGCACCUUAUAUCUGCAUGUCAUAUUGAAAGAUCCCCGAAGGGAGAACCUUACUCAAGUCUCAGGAAUUCGCGGACCCCAGACACAGAGAGACCA